UCGAUCAUGGAUUGAAGUGAUUUGCUCGGGAUGCAAUCUUUAGGUGUGUUUAGUGUUUGUACCAGCUAAAUCAUCUGGGUUUUGAUGGAAGGAAACAUUCCUUUCUGCUAAGAGAGAUACUCUACUACUACGAUAGUGAUGGUACAGCGAAGUUGCAGCUAGCACUGGUGACAAAUACCAUCUUAGGAAUUCAUGUUACAGGUGAAGAGAAGUAUCGACGUCUGCUUUGUUGCUCGCGGAAGAGCUUUGAGGAGCGCUUGCACGGGGCCACAAGCUCAUGGACAGCGAGGUGUCGAGUGUCUGGGACUGCUGAUGGAGUCGGCCGGACGCGGCGCCAGGGAACAGCCACUUGGGAUGCUCGGGGGGAACGCUUGGGCUCCUGACGACGACUGACCGGUGCAGUUGUCUCUCCUCUCUCAUCUCUCUAACUCUUUGCAGCUGCUUGAACCUCUCCUGCAGCAGGGCGAUGGAGGAGUUGACGCCGACGGGUCCCGUGUCUUCCCUCCCCAUGGAAGCAGGCAGCUCCAGGCUGAGUAGGAUGAUGCAAGGCGAGUAGGAGGAGAAUCUAUGGUGGAAGGCAAAGUCCAAGUGCUAAAGGGUGUGAAGGUUGUCUCAGGAGUUGUUUGGUGAAUGGGAGCAGGGCCAAAGCCACUUUUUAAAGGGAGAUAGGGGUGAGGGAGUAGACCAAGGAAGCAUGGAGGUAUGCAUUUGGAAGGGAGUUUUGAGAAGAAUAAGAUUAUGUGACUGAAGGCUGUGCUGCUGCUGUAGUUUCAAUCUCUUACGUCUGCAACUUUCUACUUUGUCGUGAGUCAUUUGGAUGGGAAGGGACUUCUGCUGGUCUGAAGGCAGUGACACUUAUGCUGCUGGUGCUGUUCUCUUGUCAUGCUUCGUUUUCCUUCUUGGAGUGAUACUGCCAUCUCCACAUCACCAUCCUUUUCCGCUUGUUCUGUGAAGUAGCCUUCAAUGGUCCUAUAGUUCCAUUUGCAGUGGCAUCAAUGUUAAAGAUGUGGAGUAUCUUCUCUAGAAUGAUGGAUUGAGAGCAAGCAUCUAAGUGCAUGAUGAUAUGUAAAUAGAUCGCACCAACCUCAUCUAGUUUUUGGCCUAAGAUUAUGCCAUACAACACUAUGGUUUUGGCAAUUUCAGAGAAGCUUAAUCUCAGCGAAGAAGAUGUUUCAUCUUAUAUUAAAAUUUCAGGGGCAAAUUUAAGAUAAGAUAUUAUCGGGUUGGCUUUUUAUGCAGAUGGCACAUUAAUUUGCUUCUCAUUAUUCUUUUUACGUGGAUUCCACAUCUAUCUCUGCCUAAAAUCUGUUCCAAGAAAUAUCUUUUGUACAUCCAAUUUGUACCUAUCUAGAUUUGUUUAUUUCAACAAUCUUAAUAUAGUCUGUUUCAACAUAAAAAACCAUGAUUUGUUUCCUUGAAUUCAGGUUAUGCUAAAUCUUGAACUAUUUGUUUUUCUUAUACCACAUAUUGCACUAAUGUACAGUCUAUCUUAUAAAUCAUGGAAUAUAACCCAGUGCUUGAGCAGAAUCAGAAGGUUUCCACACAAGCCAUGAAGAGUUCACCUUUCCUUUUCUUGUGAUUGCUUAUGCUACUGGAUCAUAACGAUUCCUUGUAUGCACACAGAUAAGAUUCAGCUCUGCUAUUCCGAUUUCAUAACCUUCCAUCUCCAUAAGAACCUACAAUCAAGUGAGCAAGGUAUGUUUGCCAAACUAUGUCCUUGUGUUUCCUAUUCACAAUGACAUGUAAAUGCCACUAAGCACACACCAGAGAUAGAUGUUAACAAGAACUAAGGAAAUGAGUAAACAGCC